CCUACGGGAGGCAGCAGUGGGGGAUAUUGCACAAUGGGGGGAACCCUGAUGCAGCGACGCCGCGUGGGUGAAGGAGCGUUUCGGCGCGUAAAGCCCUAUCGGCAGGGAAGAAGAUGACGGUACCUGACCAAGAAGCCCCGGCUAACUACGUGCCAGCAGCCGCGGUAAUACGUAGGGGGCAAGCGUUAUCCGGAUUUACUGGGUGUAAAGGGGGCGCAGACGGCAAUGCAAGCCAGGAGGGAAAGCCCGGGGCCCAACCCCGGGACUGCAUUGGGAACUGGGGCGCUGGAGUGCCGGAGGGGGAG
rnacentral:rRNA from 1 species